rnacentral:rRNA from 1 species
GAAUAUUGGACAAUGGGGGGAACCCUGAUCCAGCCAUGCCGCGUGGGUGAAGAAGGCCUUUUGGUUGUAAAGCACUUUAAGCGAGGAGGAGGCUACUCUAGUUCAUACCUAGAGAUAGUGGACGUUACUGGCAGAAUAAGAACAGGCGAACUCGGUGCCGGCAGCCGCGGUAAUACAGAGGGUGCAAGCGUUAAUCGGAUUUACUGGGCGUAAAGCGCGCGUAGGUGGCCAAUUAAGUCAAAUGUGAAAUCCCCGAGCUUAACUUGGGAAUUGCAUUCGAUACUGGUUGGCUAGAGUAUUGGAGAGGAUGGUAGAAUUCCAGGUGUAGCGGUGAAAUGCGUAGAGAUCUGGAGGAAUACCGAUGGCGAAGGCAGCCAUCUGGCCUAAUACUGACACUGAGGUGCGAAAGCAUGGGGAGCAAACA